CUGUUUUUAUUUUCAUAUUUUCAUUCAUACCAUGCUUUUAUAUCAUCUAUACAGAUAGUGUAACAGGAAAACAGGAAAAGAGAAAAUCACAGAGUUCGACGAAGACUUUAUUUCCACAUUGACAUAUUAUCAACAAACAAUGAAUCUGAUGCACAGAAUCCUGAUUUUUAUAUAUACAGGAAUAUUAGGAACAGUAAGUUGUUUAUCCAGCUGUUCUUUUUGAAGUAACAAAAAGAUGAAAUUCUUGGGAAAACAGUGAGAGGAAAUGUGCAACAUUGUGAGAUUGCAAUGAUGUAAUUUGGCUUCAACAAGUCAUAGAGCUGGCUUCCAUUUCCUCUUAAGGGAAUUGGUGGAGAAAGACCAACAGGUA